rnacentral:rRNA from 1 species
CGCCUACGGGAGGCAGCAGUGGGGAAUCUUGGACAAUGGGCGCAAGCCUGAUCCAGCCAUGCCGCGUGAGUGAUGAAGGCCCUAGGGUCGUAAAGCUCUUUCGCCAGAGAUGAUAAUGACAGUAUCUGGUAAAGAAACCCCGGCUAACUCCGUGCCAGCAGCCGCGGUAAUACGGAGGGGGUUAGCGUUGUUCGGAAUUACUGGGCGUAAAGCGCGCGUAGGCGGACCAGAAAGUAAGGGGUGAAAUCCCAGGGCUCAACCCUGGAACUGCCUCUUAAACUCCUGGUCUUGAGUUCGAGAGAGGUGAGUGGAAUUCCGAGUGUAGAGGUGAAAUUCGUAGAUAUUCGGAGGAACACCAGUGGCGAAGGCGGCUCACUGGCUCGAUACUGACGCUGAGGUGCGAAAGUGUGGGGAGCAAACAGGAUUAGAUACCCUGGUAGUCCACACCGUAAACGANGAAUGCCAGUCGUCGGGUAGCAUGCUAUUCGGUGACACACCUAACGGAUAA